rnacentral:rRNA from 1 species
GACGAACGCUGGCGGCGUGCUUAACACAUGCAAGUCGAACGGAAAGGCCCUGCUUUUGUGGGGUGCUCGAGUGGCGAACGGGUGAGUAACACGUGAGUAACCUGCCCUUGACUUUGGGAUAACUUCGGGAAACUGGGGCUAAUACCGGAUAGGAGCUCCUGCCGCAUGGUGGGGGUUGGAAAGUUUUGGCGGUUGGGGAUGGACUCGCGGCUUAUCAGCUUGUUGGUGGGGUAGUGGCUUACCAAGGCUUUGACGGGUAGCCGGCCUGAGAGGGUGACCGGCCACACUGGGACUGAGAUACGGCCCAGACUCCUACGGGAGGCAGCAGUGGGGAAUAUUGCACAAUGGGCGGAAGCCUGAUGCAGCGACGCCGCGUGCGGGAUGACGGCCUUCGGGUUGUAAACCGCUUUCGGCAGGGACGAAGCGUGAGUGACGGUAAUGGGUGAAGAAGCACCGGCUAACUACGUG